AACGAACGCUGGCGGCAUGCCUAACACAUGCAAGUCGAACGGGAUCCGGACUUCGGUCCGGUGAGAGUGGCGGACGGGUGAGUAACACGUGGGAACCUGCCUUUUGGUUCGGGAUAACCGCGGGAAACUGCGGCUAAUACCGGAUGCUCCCGAGAGGGAAAAGAUUUAUCGCCAGAAGAGGGGCCCGCGUCCGAUUAGGUAGUUGGUGGGGUAAUGGCCUACCAAGCCGACGAUCGGUAGCUGGUCUGAGAGGAUGAUCAGCCACACUGGGACUGAGAUACGGCCCAGACUCCUACGGGAGGCAGCAGUGGGGAAUAUUGGACAAUGGGGGCAACCCUGAUCCAGCAAUGCCGCGUGAUCGAUGAAGGCCUUAGGGUUGUAAAGAUCUUUCGUGGGGGGAAGAUAAUGACGGUACCCCAAGAAGAAGCCCCCGGCUAACUCCGUGCCAGCAGCCGCGGUAAU
rnacentral:rRNA from 1 species